rnacentral:lncRNA from 1 species
ACGCUCUCAAGCUCCACAAAGGACAGCUUCUUGGCGACUUGAGCUCUGUUUUUCAAAGACUUGAGCUCCAACGUCAAUAGACAGUCUGUGUUUCUUCUUCAUCAUGACUGAUUUUGAGAAGUGGAGAUUGCAACAUCUCGCAAGGCAUGCUCCACCUUGUCACUGCCGCUGUUGUGAUUCCACUCAGCUUCACAAGCUUGUUCACUGCUCAAGACUCAUUCCAGUCGCCUCUCUCAUCCGUCUUUAAGCUCGGCCUCGGACAGUAGCAAUCACGUGAUGACCUUGGUAGUAACGAUCUGAUCUCCGCACCCGGCUUCUUACGUUUCACCGCCAUGACGUCUUCAAAAGCUCCGUCAACAGAAGCUUGUCGCCAAGUUCUCAAGACUCCGCACCGGCUUUGUUCGCGGCACUCAUCUCAUCUCGUCACUCAUUUUGUAUCUUCACCGAGGAGACACCAUGAUCAAUAGAGAAUACAGUGAGAUGUCC